rnacentral:rRNA from 1 species
CAGUAGCCGCGGUAAUACAGAGGUCUCAAGCGUCGUUCGGAUUCAUUGGGCGUAAAGGGUGCGUAGGUGGCGGUGUAAGUCUAACGUGAAAUCUCGGGGCUCAACCUCGAAAUUGCGUCGAAUACUGCAUUGCUAGAGGAUCGUAGAGGAGAGUGGAAUUCAUGGUGUAGCAGUGAAAUGCGUAGAUAUCAUGAGGAAGACCAGUUGCGAAGGCGACUCUCUGGGCAAUUCCUGACACUGAGGCACGAAGGCUAGGGGAGCAAACGGGAUUAGAUACCCCCGUAGUCCCUGUCUCUUAUAC